UACGUAGGGUGCGAGCGUUAAUCGGAAUUACUGGGCGUAGAGCGUGCGCAGGCGGUUCGUUGUGUCGGCGGUGAAAGCCCCGGGCUUAACCUGGGAACGGCCGUUGAAACUGGCGAACUGGAGUGUGGCAGAGGGGGGUGGAAUUCCGCGUGUAGCAGUGAAAUGCGUAGAGAUGCGGAGGAACACCGAUGGCGAAGGCAGCCCCCUGGGCUAACACUGACGCUCAGGCACGAAAGCGUGGGGAGCAAACAGG
rnacentral:rRNA from 1 species